UUCUGUUUGAUCCUGGCAGAGGUUACUGCUAUCGAGGUUCGACUAAGCCAUGCGAGUCGAAUGUAGCAAUACAUGGCGAACUGCUCAGUAACACGUGGACAACCUGCCCUUAGGACGGGGAUAAACCCGGGAAACUGGGUAUAAUACCCGAUAGGUCUCGAUUGCUGGAAUGCAUCGAGAUUUAAAGCUCCGGCGCCUAAGGAUGGGUCUGCGGCCUAUCAGGUAGUAGUGGGUGUAGCGUACCUACUAGCCUACGACGGGUACGGGUUGUGAGAGCAAGAGCCCGGAGAUGGAUUCUGAGACACGAAUCCAGGCCCUACGGGGUGCAGCAGGCGCGAAAACUUUACAAUGCUGGCAACAGCGAUAAGGGAACCUCGAGUGCCAGGUUACAAAUCUGGCUGUCGAGAUGCCUAAAAAGCAUUUCAUAGCAAGGGCCGGGCAAGACCGGUGCCAGCCGCCGCGGUAACACCGGCGGCUCGAGUGGUAACCGUUAUUAUUGGGUCUAAAGGGUCUGUAGCCGGCCGGAUAAGUCUCUUGAGAAAUCUGGCAGCUUAACUGUCAGGCUUUCAGGAGAUACUGUCUGGCUCGAGGCCGGGAGAGGUGAGAGGUACUUCAGGGGUAGGGGUGAAAUCUUGUAAUCCUUGAAGGACCACCAGUGGGAAGGCGUCUCACCAGAACGGACCUGACGGCAAGGGACGAAAGCUAGGGGCACGAACCGGAUUAGAUACCCGGGUAGUCCUAGCCGUAAACGAUACUCGCUAGGUGUCGGCCACGGUGCGACCGUUGUCGGUGCCGUAGGGAAGCCGUGAAAGCGAGCCACCUGGGAAGUACGGGCCGCAAGGCUGAAACUUUAAAGAAAUUGAGCGGGGGGAGCACCACAACGGGUGGGAGCUUGCUGGUUUAAUUGGAUUUCAACGCCGGGAAAUCUUACCGGGACCGACUAGGCGAAUAUGAACGGCCAGGCUGAAGACUUUGCCGGAUUAGCUGAGAGGUUGUGCAUGGGCGUCGUCAGUUCGUACUGUGAGCAUCCUGUUAAGUUCAUGCAUCGAGCGAGACCCA
rnacentral:rRNA from 1 species